rnacentral:rRNA from 1 species
UGUUGGAUACUUGAGAGGAGCUGCCCCUAGUACGAGAGGACCGGGGUGGACGUAUCUCUGGUGGACCUGUUGUCACGCCAGUGGCAUAGCAGGGUAGCUAAAUACGGACGGGAUAACCGCUGAAGGCAUCUAAGCGGGAAGCCCCCCUCAAAACCAGGUAUCCCUAUCAGAGCCGUGGAAGACCACCACGUUGAUAGGCUGGAAGUGGAAGCGCAGCAAUGCGUGAAGCGGACCAGUACUAAUUGCUC